AAUUCGUAUUAUUAGCUGAUGAUUUAAAGUUUUUGAAGUCAAUUCGAUGUCAUAACGACAAUCUUCUUCAUCGGAAAGAUGUAAAUAAUUUCCACGAGUGGUGUAAUUAGAAUGUUAUAUCUUUAAAUAUAAUCGUUUAGAGUGAAAAAAAACACGUAAACUUUAGUUUCAGAUAAGGAAGAGGAUGAGAAAACUGAAAAAAAAAAAAGAGUUGGGUAUGGAAAACUAGGAGAGAAUGUCGCAUUUCGGUGGUAUAAUCCUAGUGACCGUUGAUAUCGAUAAGAAGAAGACAAAUAAAACCACCAGUAAUACAUUUUUCGAAAGAAAAUAUAAAAAUAUUAAGGCAAAUUAAUUUAUUAUACCUAUCGUACCUAAAGUAAACUUCGCGGUCGGCGGUGCGCAAAGGAGAUGUAUUCGGAAGCAACUAUAGGUGAACUGAGCUGGGAAAUAGAAAGAGAGUGCAGUUUUCCGCGAACAAACCCGUGCGUUUUUUUCUUUGUUGUUUUUGGCACGGAAAGAGAAAAUCUAAUAUCUCACCCG